AGAGGCAUGGCUCAGUGAUAGAGCUCCUGUCUAGUAAACAUGAGGCUCUGAGUUCAAACCCCAGUACUUUAG
rnacentral:tRNA from 1 species